UACGUAGGGGGCAAGCGUUGUCCGGAUUUAUUGGGCGUAAAGAGCGUGUAGGCGGCUUGGUAGGUCCGCUGUGAAAACUCGAGGCUCAACCUCGAGAUGUCGGCGGAAACCACUUGGCUAGAGUCCGGAAGAGGAGAGUGGAAUUCCUGGUGUAGCGGUGAAAUGCGCAGAUAUCAGGAAGAACACCUAUGGCGAAGGCGGGCUACUGGGCCGAUACUGACGCUGAUGCGCGAAAGCCAGGGGAGCAAACGGG
rnacentral:rRNA from 1 species